rnacentral:rRNA from 1 species
UACGUAGGGCGCAAGCGUUGUCCGGAAUUAUUGGGCGUAAAGAGCUCGUAGGCGGUCUGUCGCGUCGGCUGUGAAAACCCGGGGCUCAACCCCGGGCCUGCAGUCGAUACGGGCAGACUAGAGUGUGGUAGGGGAGACUGGAAUUCCUGGUGUAGCGGUGGAAUGCGCAGAUAUCAGGAGGAACACCGGUGGCGAAGGCGGGUCUCUGGGCCAUAACUGACGCUGAGGAGCGAAAGCGUGGGGAGCGAACAGG